GCCUCCUUACCUCCAGUCUCCAGAGAAGUUUCUUUCUGUAGUCUCCAUGGACUUGACGCCAUCCAUGUCGAGCUUCGAUGUUCGAGUAUCGACUAUCGCAUAUCGUAACGUAUAUCGAAUCUCGAAUGUCGUCGCAUCAUUUGAAUUAUAACCGACUAACUUUGUUGAUAGUAACCUUAAAUAUAUCACCGAGUGUCAGAAGUACUUUUGAUGUUUGUAUAGGAUACUAUUAAUCAAAGUAAUGAUUAAUUUGAGAACAUAAUAAAUUUUUCAACGUUAAAAUAAGCCAUGGCGGAAUUGCAAACUGCGUUAACCGCGAUCAGAUUACUGCGAAUAAGUGUCCGGCAGCUUUUUAAUAUUGUGGGAAGCGGCCAGGGAGUCGAUGGUGGUGAAGAUAACUCGAUGACAAAUUUUCCUCGGGACCUCCAGGAAUUUCUAAGUACUAUUGCUAGCCGUGUAAGAGAUGUAGAACAGGCGGUGAACACUCUGGAACCAACUCCGGAACCGUUCGAUCUUCCAAGUAUGAUGUACCUGGGCCAGCACACGACACAGGAAGGACAAGCGUUCCACGACACAUUGGUAAACACUUAUAGAUGGAUAAAGGAUGUUCAGGAGAAAAGCGACGUCGCCCAAACACUACUUACUCAGAACUCAAUGACGCGUUCGUACCUAACUGCGGGCAGACCAGUGAAAAAAAGAUUGCGAACGGCCAGUCAUAACGUUCCUCCGGAGCAAGUCGACUCUGUCAUACUGACAAUAGACAGACUGUACGACGACAUGACGAUAACCAUUUCACGACAGCUCUCCUCCAAUGCCGUGCUCCACGUCACUCUUGGUCACAUUUUGAAAGCAGUGAUUGCAUGCAAGGGGUUGUUGAUAGAGAGCGUGGUCAUAAAAGGGUACGGAGAGUCGACGGAUUUGUGGACAGAAUCGCGACACGAGGUGUUCAAAAAACUUACAGAGAAUGCAUACGCGGCUAUGCUUCAGUAUGAUUCACCCACUUCACCUGAAUGCUCUGUUAUAUCGUUCAUGGACUGGGUCCACAGCUUCACUAACCUGUUCAGUGUACCUUGCAAACGAUGCGGAUUGUAUCUUCACAACUUCCUGCCGCCUACUUGGCGAGAUUUUGACACCUUGGAGCCUUAUCAUCAAGAGUGCAGAGCCUCGUAAUUGAAAUCCCGUAACUUAUUACGACUGGCAAUAAACUAGAAAAGUAUGUACACACAACUUGGUCUUCUCAGUUUGUAUUAACAAAAAGGCGCGACUUCUCUUCAAUCGUUCUUAUUCAAUGAAUCGCAGAAAUAAAGAAUGAUUGGAAUCAAAUUUCGACGAAUGACGACCCCCAAUUCUGAAGAGUGUUUUUCUUAACUAUGACGUAAGACGAGUUUGCAUAGUCCGUUUGGAGGGUGCUGUCAACGACGAAAAACCUCGGCGAAUAUUCGGAACAAUACGGUAUUUCGUAUAUUUGCUAAAUAUACCUGAGCUGAUCAAGAAACACCAAAGGGGCAAACCAUUUUGUGAUACUAAAAAGAGAUUUAUCUACAAACUGAUAGGGAGCUGCAAAAGUCUCCGUUAGAUUAGGUCAUUACGCACUGUAAAUAAUUGAUUCUACAAGUUUAUGUAAGUAGGUUCUUUUUUCCUUUUUCUUUAUUUAUAAUACGCUAAUUGUAUAUUAUUGUGUUUAAUUGCUACUAGCAUGAGUUUCAAUCACUGAGCUCUAUAACGACUGAAAAUGUGCGAAAGCGUUAUUUAAUUGAACAAAUUGCAAUUUAUACCUGCUUUUUUCAUCUGUGGAUGUUUAUUUCAAUCGAAAUACUGCGUCCAACGUCCCACGGACGUAAACUCCGGUUGUAAGUGAUCUACAGAUAUUUUUUCGUUUUGGUGAAACCAUCUUUUGAGUUCUGACCACUGGACCCGUAUUAUCGAUAUUAUUAUGAAUUUCCAUACUUGCUAGUUUGAUCGCAACAUCAUUUAUUAAUUUUUUCCAAUUUUCGCAACAAAACUGUACUUUUCAUGGGAUAAUUAUUCAUUUUUAUUCGGUAUAUAACAGGUGUGCAGUUGAUUUAUCUUUAUUCUAAAUCUGUAUAUCAUUCUUAAUAUCACCAUAUCGUAAUUAAUUCUAUGUAUAAUGACAAUCAUAAUCAUAAUGAGUAUCGUUAUAAUGUAAUUAUAAUUAUGGUGUAAUUGUUAUCUCCACAGAACUGUACACAUCCAUAAUUGGAACAUUGGCGCUUUAACGAGGGCGCAAGUCAUUGUUUUUUUCAUUUUUGUUUUUUAUUUGUGUGGUAAUGAACUUAUUUUACUCAUUGUUACUGUAAUCACUUGCUCGAUGGACUCUGGGUCCCAACUUUGUAAGGCUCUAUCUACUUUGCGUCAAAUGAGCUUACCGUGAUUUUAUUUAUUCAUUCAAAACAUUUUCUGCAAAUUAGCUACCCUUUUUAAAAUAAAAUAUAUGAAAUGCUGUAUUUUAUAUUCAUCGAUACAUAUAAUUCAGCGUGUCGUAAAAUACUUUUGAAAUUCGUAGAAUUGUUCUCGUUAUUAUACUCUGGCUGUACCAUAUACUAUGAACUUGGAAUCAUGGUAGAAACCGUAAAAACUAUUCGAAAAGUUUACACACUUGCCAGAUUAAUCUCGUCGGUUAUUACUACAUGUUUACUAACAAUAACGCCUGUGUACUUAACGCGCAUUUAUAGUUCUGAGUCAAAAAAAUUGCUUCUAUUUUACCAGUUAUCGUAUUGAGUUCAUAAGCUUAUAACAUUUAAAAAAUGGAUAUGCUAGCUUUACUCUGUCCGGAAUUAUAACUUCAGUCUUAACUUAAAUUAUUGUUAAUAAUAUAGUAUCGUAAAGUCUGAUAGUACCACAAUGCGAGGAAACCUACUUUAGCAUAUUCUCAGUUCAAUAGCUUUAUUGCUUUUCUCACUGAUUCUGUAUGUUUUGGACAGCUUAUAAUUAGAAGUUCUUUUUUUUUCAAUUACGUUUAUAUGGUGCGCAGCACUGAUAAUGAAAUUAUUCAAGUAGCAUUUCACGAGAUGCGAAUAAACGAUUUGAAAAAUCGUCUUUCAUUAAAUUCAUAUUUAAUUAACACGAUAAUAGAAUUCUUCCUCAUAAGUAGCACUUUGAUAACUUUUGAGAGAAAAUAACGUGUUUUUUAUAUUAUACAUCAAUUUUCAAAUCAGAGCAAUUUUUCGGUCAAAUUGUUGAAGAAAUUUAGGUCACGCGUUCCAUGAAGAAAUAAAACUAGUCUGCGAAUGUAUGCAAAUUUCUGUGAUAAAAAUGCCUAUAAAAUUUAUUACAAUGUUAUAUAUAUUUAUAAAUUGAGGUAUACUGCCUUGUCAGAUUUAUAGUGAAUGAUUAAUAUAUAUUUUUUAGCCAAGGAGUCUUUAACUUAGUGAAUGUAAAAGCCUCAAAGUGUACGAGGAAUGAUAAUGUCGAAAUAGUAGACUGUGAUAAAUGCAUUUGUAUACAUAUACAGUUGACAUUUUGUUUUUUUGUGAAGAUGAAAAUUGUUGUAUUGAUAAUAAAAGUGCAAUGUACUUAUUAUUAGUCACAAUUGUUG